rnacentral:lncRNA from 1 species
CACAUGUGCCAAUGGUAGCUCAAACUUGGCUAAGGACAGCCCAAGGGGGCAGUUAGAUGUUUCUGAUUUGUCAUUAGCUAGCACUGCCUGUAUAGUGUGGGUGUGCACAUUCUUGGGUGCUAGACCAAGCAAGAUGGAGAAAAUUUAAAAAUCACAAUAGCAGAUCAGAAAUAAGACAGAAUCUGGACGCUGUCUAUGUCAGGGGCUUAUCAGAGGAGUGUCAGAGAUUGUACCAGACAACACUGUGCCAUGUUCUAAACAUAGUGAUGAAUGAUUGUCAAUGGGCAGCCUGAGGGAUGGACCAUUUUUAAAAAAAGAAGGGAGACUUCUCUGUUGCCUUUUCUUGAGGAAUCCAUUCCUAUCUCCAAGGAGCUACAAUCAAAGAUGUGUCUGGGAAGGGACCAUAGGAUUAUCUCAAGAUUUUAAGCUUGGGCAUCAUGCAGUCCAGUUCCAUCACCUUACAAGGGAAGAAACAGAGGAAAAGGAAGUAGAAGGGGAAAAAAAACCUAGAAAAAAGGACAUCAACUGGAGAAUGGUGGAACAAAAUAUGGUAUAUGAUGGUGAUAGAAUACUAUUGUGCUGUAAGAAAUGAUGAACAGGAUGAUUUCAGAAAGACUGGAAAGACCUACAGGAACCAAUGCAGAGUGAAAUAAGCAGAACCAGGGGAACAUCGUACACAGGAACUGCAACAUUGUGGAACAAUCAAAUGUGAUAGACUUUGCUACUAGCAGCAAUACAAUCAUCCAGGACCAUUCUGAAGAAGAAUGCUAUCCACCUCUAGAAAAAGAACUGUCGGUGUAGAAAUGCACAUGAAAACAUAUGGUUUAUCACUUGUUUAUUUGGCGAAAUGAUUUGGGGUUUUGGUUUUACAAGAUGAUUCACUUAUAAAAAUGAUUAAUGUGGAAAUAUGUAUUAUAUGAUAACACAUGUAAAACUCAGACUGAAUUGCUUGUCAACUCUGGAAUCAGGGAGGGAAGAAGGAAGGGAGACAACAUGAAUCAUAUAACUUUGGAAACUUAUGUGGAAAUUUGUUAUAAAAAUAAAAUAAAAAUAAGAAACA